UGGCGAUCGCGCCAGAGCAUUUUUCCGGCGAAAGGGAUUCUCCUCAUCCCAGGCGAAUGAGCUUGUCAGUGGAGUGCUGCAAGCCGCAGCUUGUUCCCGCUGAUCGCUCAUCUCCGAUCUGGCCGUUGAUCUGGCAACUCCGGUUGCUGUGGCCGCGCCCUCUAUUGGCCAGACGCUGUCGUUUUCCAGCACUUAGCUCCGUGCCUUUAGUCAGCUGUUCUUCCGUCGUUAUCCAACACCACUUGCGGUGUGCUUGGCCAAUUUUGCCCAAAACAAAAAGAAGGCAGCAACAAACAAGUGGCGCCAAGAAUCACAGCGAAGAAGAAUAGGAAAACAGGCACUUACCUGCUGUUCCUUCCCCCCCCCUUCGGCCUAGGGCUCGACGGCGUCCCACUGGGAUUUCGGCCAGUACUAUUGGCCAGGUGGCCGCUUCUCUGCUUGCGGACUUGUGUUCCGCGCAGGCUAACUUCCGACGUUUUCCACUGAAUUGUACGGAACGAUUUAAAAACACGACCGCACUCACUAGAAUA